AUUUUUAUAGUUUAUUAAAACAUUACAUUUUCAAUGUAAAAAUAAAGAGAUUCUUUUUUAAAUU
rnacentral:tRNA from 1 species